rnacentral:rRNA from 1 species
AUGAACGCUGGCGGCGUGCCUAACACAUGCAAGUCGAGCGAUUCUYUUYGGAGAAGAGCGGCGGACGGGUGAGUAACGCGUGGGUAACCUGCCCUGUACACACGGAUAACAUACCGAAAGGUAUGCUAAUACGGGAUAAUAUAUAAGAGUCGCAUGACUCUUAUAUCAAAGAUUUUUCGGUACAGGAUGGACCCGCGUCUGAUUAGCUUGUUSGCGGGGUAACGGCCCACCAAGGCGACGAUCAGUAGCCGACCUGAGAGGGUGAUCGGCCACAUUGGAACUGAGACACGGUCCAAACUCCUACGGGAGGCAGCAGUGGGGAAUAUUGCACAAUGGGCGCAAGCCUGAUGCAGCAACGCCGCGUGAGCGAUGAAGGCCUUCGGGUYGUAAAGCUYUGUCYUCAAGGAAGAUAAUGACGGU